rnacentral:rRNA from 1 species
GAUGAACGCUAGCUACAGGCUUAACACAUGCAAGUCGAGGGGCAGCGGGAUUGAAGCUUGCUUCAAUUGCCGGCGACCGGCGCACGGGUGAGUAACGCGUAUCCAAACCUUCCGUACACUCAGGGAUAGCCUUUCGAAAGAAAGAUUAAUACCUGAUGGUAUCUUAAGCACACAUGUAAUUAAGAUUAAAGAUUUAUCGGUGUACGAUGGGGAUGCGUUCCAUUAGGUAGUAGGCGGGGUAACGGCCCACCUAGCCAACGAUGGAUAGGGGGUUCUGAGAGGAAGGUCCCCCACAUUGGAACUGAGACACGGUCCAAACUCCUACGGGAGGCAGCAGUGAGGAAUAUUGGUCAAUGGACGAGAGUCUGAACCAGCCAAGUAGCGUGAAGGAUGAAGGUCCUACGGAUUGUAAACUUCUUUUAUAAGGGAAUAAACCCUCCCACGUGUGGGAGCUUGUAUGUACCUUAUGAAUAAGCAUCGGCUAACUCCGUG